rnacentral:rRNA from 1 species
AGCAGCCGCGGUAAUUCCAGCUCCAAUAGCGUAUAUUAAAGUUGUUGCAGUUAAAAAGCUCGUAGUUGAAUUUCGGAAUUUGUCGGUUGGUCGGGCUUCACUGUCCGCACUGACCUGAUGAAUUCCUACCUUCUGAAUAACCUUCAUGCUAUUAAGUUAGUGCGUUGGGGAAGCAGAGCUAUUACCUUGAAAAAUUAGAGUGCUUAAAGCAGGCUUAUGCUUGAAUAGAUUAGCAUGGAAUAAUAAAAUAGGACGGCAUGGUUCUAUUUUGUUGGUUUCUAGGAUCACCGUAAUGAUUAAUAGGGAUAGUUGGGGGCAUUAGUAUUCAAUUGUCAGAGGUGAAAUUCUUGGAUUUAUUGAAGACUAACUUCUGCGAAAGCAUUUGCCAAGGAUGUUUUCAUUAAUCAAGAACGAAAGUUAGGGGAUCGAAGACGAUCAGAUACCGUCGCAGUCUUAACCAUAAACUAUGCCGACUAGGGAUCGGACGAUGUUAAUUUUAAUGACUCGUUC